rnacentral:rRNA from 1 species
GAUGAACGCUGGCGGCGUGCCUAAUACAUGCAAGUCGAGCGAACGGACGAGAAGCUUGCUUCUCUGAUGUUAGCGGCGGACGGGUGAGUAACACGUGGAUAACCUACCUAUAAGACUGGGAUAACUUCGGGAAACCGGAGCUAAUACCGGAUGAUAUUUUGAACCGCAUGGUUCAAAAGUGAAAGACGGUCUUGCUGUCACUUAUAGAUGGAUCCGCGCUGCAUUAGCUAGUUGGUAAGGUAACGGCUUACCAAGGCAACGAUGGCUAGCCGACCUGAGAGGGUGUUCGGCCACACUGGAACUGAGACGCGGUCCAGACUCCUACGGGAGGCAGCAGUAGGGAAUCUUCCGCGAUGGGCGAAAGCCUGACGGAGCAACGCCGCGUGAGUGCUGCAGGUCUUCGGAUCGUAAAACUCUGUUAUUAGGGAAGAACAUAUGUGUAAGUAACUGUGCACAUCUUGACGGUACCUAAUCAGAAAGCCACGGCUAACUACGUG